rnacentral:rRNA from 1 species
UACGGGGGGGGGCAAGCGUUGUUCGGAAUUACUGGGCGUAAAGGGCGCGUAGGCGGCCUUCUAAGUCGAACGUGAAAUCCCCGGGCUCAACCCGGGAACUGCGUCCGAUACUGGAAGGCUUGAAUCCGGGAGAGGGAUGCGGAAUUCCAGGUGUAGCGGUGAAAUGCGUAGAUAUCUGGAGGAACACCGGUGGCGAAGGCGGCAUCCUGGACCGGCAUUGACGCUGAGGCGCGAAAGCCAGGGGAGCAAAGCGGG